GAUGAACGCUAGCGGCAGGCUUAACACAUGCAAGUCGAGGGGCAGCAUAAUGGAUAGCUAUAUCUAUGGUGGCGACCGGCGCACGGGUGCGUAACGCGUAUGCAACCUACCUUUAACAGGGGGAUAACACUGAGAAAUUGGUACUAAUACCCCAUAAUAUCAUAGAAGGCAUCUUUUAUGGUUGAAAAUUCCUAUGGUUAGAGAUGGGCAUGCGUUGUAUUAUCUAGUUGGUGGGGUAACGGCUCACCAAGGCGACGAUACAUAGGGGGACGGAGAGGUUGACCCCCCAGAAGGGGACUGAGACAAGGACCAGACUCCUACGGGAGGGAGUAGUGAGGAAUACAGAGCAAUGGACGCUAGCCUGAACCAGCCAUGCCGGGUGCAGGAUGACGGCUCUCGGAGUUGUAAACUGCUUGUGGACGAGGGUAAACGCAGAUACGUGUAUCUGUCUGACAGUAUCGUAUGAAUAAGCAUCGGCUAACUACGUG
rnacentral:rRNA from 1 species